UGGGGAAUAUUGGACAAUGGGCGCAAGCCUGAUCCAGCAAUGCCGCGUGUGUGAAGAAGGCCUGCGGGUUGUAAAGCACUUUCGGAAGGGAGGAAGGCAUUAGCUUUAAUAGAGCUGAUGAUUGACGUUACCUUCAGAAGAAGCACCGGCUAACUCUGUGCCAGCAGCCGCGGUAAUACAGAGGGUGCAAGCGUUAAUCGGAAUUACUGGGCGUAAAGGGUGUGUAGGUGGCAAGAUAAGUUAGGUGUGAAAUCCUCGGGCUUAACCUGAGAAUUGCGCUUAAUACUGUCUGGCUAGAGUACUGCAGAGGGUAGUGGAAUUUCCAGUGUAGCGGUGAAAUGCGUAGAUAUUGGAAGGAACACCAGUGGCGAAGGCGACUGCCUGGAUAGAUACUGACACUGAGACACGAAAGCGUGGGUAGCAAACAGG
rnacentral:rRNA from 1 species